UACGAAGGGGGCUAGCGUUGUUCGGAUUUACUGGGCGUAAAGCGCACGUAGGCGGCUUUGUAAGUUAGAGGUGAAAGCCCGGAGCUCAACUCCGGAAUUGCCUUUAAGACUGCAUCGCUUGAAUCAUGGAGAGGUGAGUGGAAUUCCGAGUGUAGAGGUGAAAUUCGUAGAUAUUCGGAAGAACACCAGUGGCGAAGGCGACUCACUGGACAUGUAUUGACGCUGAGGUGCGAAAGCGUGGGGAGCAAACAGG
rnacentral:rRNA from 1 species